UACGUAGGGUGCAAGCGUUGUCCGGAAUUAUUGGGCGUAAAGGGCUCGUAGGCGGUUUGUCGCGUCGGGAGUGAAAUCCACUGGCUUAACUGGUGGCUUGCUUUCGAUACGGGCAGACUGGAGGUAUGCAGGGGAGAACGGAAUUCCUGGUGUAGCGGUGAAAUGCGCAGAUAUCAGGAGGAACACCGGUGGCGAAGGCGGUUCUCUGGGCAACAACUGACGCUGAGGAGCGAAAGCGUGGGGAGCGAACAGG
rnacentral:rRNA from 1 species